ACAGCUUUCACUUUUUCAAAUAUAUCACAUUGCAAACAUAACCAAUAAAUCACAGGAUGUCCAUAAGUCAAACCAUCCCGCAUUCAUUCCCCUUCGACUUCGAAUCAAUUGACACCGAACACCCGAUAUCCCUCGACCUUCAACACGGGUAUCUGGAAAUAGAUAGGAAUCGCAGUUGGCCAAUUACUGUCCAGCCCCACCUCUCACGCAAUCCUGCACCACCUGAUCCAGCACCAGCACCACCAUCAACCUCACCACCACCAUCAUCACCAUCGCUAUCGCCGCACCACCCGAAUUGCUGGCUGACAUUUGGCAUCACUUGAGUGUGUGCGACCACCUGACAAAUACCUCGAAUAUCAUUCACACCGGGACUCGUGAAUCGUGAAUCGCGACUCGUAAUCUUACACUCAUCAUAUCGCCAGCCACUGAUUGGCAUUGACAGACGUCGACGCAGACGCGUCGCCGGGCAACUGCAAUUUUGUAUCUUGAUAAAUUACUUAUGACUGGCCCAGACAUUGAUGAGUACUCGGUGUACUCGCUGCCGGUACUCAGUACUCAGUACUCACUUGUUGGUUUUCCGGCGGGUAAGGGAAGGGGGAUGGGUGGAAGGAGAGGGGCGGAAAGGGGAGGCCUCGGGCACGCAGCACAAAUCACCAAGUGCGCACCUGAAAACAUUUAACGAUAAACAAACAUGGUGUGAAGUGGGCGGUAAGAGAUCGGUCUAUUGCAUACCCCUUAACAGGACUUACGA